UGGAAAGGCAUGGUCCCCAAUGUGUGA
rnacentral:piRNA from 1 species